UACGAAGGGGGCUAGCGUUGUUCGGAAUCACUGGGCGUAAAGCGCACGUAGGCGGAUUCUUAAGUCAGGGGUGAAAUGCCGAGGCUCAACCUCGGAACUGCCUUUGAUACUGGGGAUCUUGAGUCCGGGAGAGGUGAGUGGAAUUGCGAGUGUAGAGGUGAAAUUCGUAGAUAUUCGCAAGAACACCAGUGGCGAAGGCGGCUCACUGGCCCGGUACUGACGCUGAGGUGCGAAAGCGUGGGGAG
rnacentral:rRNA from 1 species